rnacentral:rRNA from 1 species
CCUACGGGAGACAGCAGUAGGGAAUAUUGCUCAAUGGGGGAAACCCUGAAGCAGCAACGCCGCGUGGAGGAUGAAGGUUUUCGGAUUGUAAACUCCUUUUGUUAGAGAAGAUAAUGACGGUAUCUAACGAAUAAGCACCGGCUAACUCCGUGCCAGCAGCCGCGGUAAUACGGAGGGUGCAAGCGUUACUCGGAAUCACUUGGCGUAAAGAGCCCGGAGGCGGGAUAGCAAGUCAGAUGUGAAAUCCUAUGGCUUAACCAUAGAACUGCAUUUGAAACUGUUAAUCUAGAGUAUGGGAGAGGUUAGUGGAAAUCUUUGUGUAAGGGUAAAAAUCGU